UUCUUUUCUCGCGAUACACGCAAUGAUCACUAGCCAUCGUCAGUCGAUUUCAGGAAAAUGGUACGUAAAGUUAGAGUGUGAAAGUGGUAUCAAACUCGGGUGUCGGAGGCGUCCCGGGACGCUCUCCCUAGUGUAGGCUUUUUGCACCCGGGUGUAAUGUGUGAGAACCGUGGAGUGAAUGUGUUGGUGUACCUGUUUUGCCAUUUUUUUAAAUAUAGGGUUAGGUAGGAUAGGUAGUAUACUUUCUAGUAUGUCUGUUAAUUAUAAGUAGGUAGGGCCGGGCAGGUUGUCACAGUCUCUGAUCGGGUAGGCGCGUUUUCGCGUGACAACCUGUUUCAGGAAAUACGAUUUGAAAAAUCGAGAGCGAAGCUGAGACGAGUGGUCAUCGAUGAUCACUCGUUUCUGGUUUUACUUAUAUCGAUUUUUCGAAUUUCGCGGUCGCGAUCGCGGAGUGGGCGAAACGAACGUUGCGCUCGAGAUUCUGCGCAUGUGCGGACAAUGGUCAUUAAUGACUAUUGGUCGUCCAUGUGCACUCAGCUUUCGCGAUUUAGUCUAUUUUUUUUUCUUUUUUUUUUUCGCGAUUAAGAAAUCUCGAGCCUAGUUUUAAGUUUCAGCGGGCAUUGCGCCCGAAGGAGGAAGAUCGAAGAGGCCCCGACAAACUGUCGCGAAGAGGGGCUGCAACGAAUGGCUUCUCAUUUUUUGGAUCUUUUUUGGGUCCAAAGAAUGGGAAGUCAUUGUUACUACUUUGUCAUUAUGCUCGUUUUAGAGUUGGUAGUAGUAGUAGUAGUAGUAGUAGUAGUAGUAGUAGUAGUAGUAGUAUUUAUGGCCGAUGUGAAUUCCGGCCCAACGUACAGUUAUCAUGGGCAAAUGGGCAAUCGCGAUUUUUUAAUUAAUGUUGCGAUAAAUAAAUUACGGUUUGCAUUAGAAUUGCGAAUAAAUAACGAUCGCGUUUGCUUUAGUGUUGCGUUUUA